GCAGUCGUGGCCUAGUAUUUAGGGUGAUUGACUGGAGAUCAAAACGUCGCCGGUUCGAGCCCCGGCUCCA